rnacentral:lncRNA from 1 species
CAGAACUCAAGAAUGCUCUGCUCUUCGUGGUUUACUUCAUGAGUUAGUUUUUCUUCCCAUCAUUUCCACGGCAAUCCAGGAAGUAGUUUUUCUUUGUGUCAAUACCAAGACAGAACACCACAGUCAACAAUUGCAGAAUGCAUGUUCUUUUGAAUGGCCACAAGACAUAUACUAAGACAGAUUAUCUCUUGUGCCAUAAAAAAUAUAUCAACAGUUUUUAAAAAUGAAAAACAUGAAGUUAAUUGUAUGUUUACAACAGAAUAAAACUAGAAACCAAUAACACAAUAACAGGAAAAUUCCCAAAUACAUGGCAAGUAAACACACUUAUAAAUAUAAUUCAUGGACCAAAGAGGAAGUAGUAACAAGGGAAAUUUUAAAAAAUACAUCACACUUAAUAAAAAUGGAUAUGCAACAAGUCAAAAUUUGUGGAACACAGGUAAAACAGUGCUGAUGGUGAAAUUUAAAGACUGAAUACUUCAGAAAUAGGUUAAAGCUCAAAUAGAUAAUUUAUGUUUUUACUUCAAGAAUUAAAAAAAGA